rnacentral:rRNA from 1 species
UACGUAGGGCGCAAGCGUUGUUCGGAUUUACUGGGCGUAAAGGGCGCGUAGGCGGCCGAUUAAGUCAGCUGUGAAAUCUCCGAGCUUAACUCGGAACUGUCAGCUGAUACUGUUUUGCUAGAGUGCGGAAGGGGCAAUCGGAAUUCUUGGUGUAGCGGUGAAAUGCGUAGAUAUCAAGAGGAACACCUGAGGUGAAGACGGGUUGCUGGGCCGACACUGACGCGGAGUGCGCGAAAGCCAGGGGAGCAAACGGG